rnacentral:rRNA from 1 species
AUUGAACGCUGGCGGCAGGCCUAACACAUGCAAGUCGAGCGAGCGGCGGACGGGUGAGUAAUGUCUGGGAAACUGCCUGAUGGAGGGGGAUAACUACUGGAAACGGUAGCUAAUACCGCAUACCAUCAGAUGUGCCCAGAUGGGAUUAGCUAGUAGGUGGGGUAACGGCUCACCAAGGCGACGAUCCCUAGCUGGUCUGAGAGGAUUACCAGCCACACUGGAACUGAGACACGGGCAAUACUCCUACGGGAGUCAGCAGUGGGGAAUAUGGCACAAUGGGCGCUAGCCUGAUGCAGCCAUGCCGCGUGUGUGAAGAAGGCCUGCGGGUUGUAAAGCACUUGCAGCGGGGAGGCGUUAUCCGCAGAAGAAGCACCGGCUAACUCCGUGCCAGCAGACGCGGUAAUUC